GCGUGUAAAAGCCAAACCCGUCGCGAGGUGGGGACGGAAAGCCACGGAUGUUGCCGCCAGGCAAGAUGGCCGGGUUGUCACC
rnacentral:ncRNA from 1 species